rnacentral:rRNA from 1 species
GACGAACGCUGGCGGCGUGCUUAAUACAUGCAAGUCGAACGGAAAGGCCCUGCUUUUGUGGGGUGCUCGAGUGGCGAACGGGUGAGUAACACGUGAGUAACCUGCCCUUGACUUUGGGAUAACUUCACGAAACUGGGGCUAAUACCGGAUAGGAGCUCCUGCUGCAUGGUGGGGGUUGGAAAGUUUCGGCGGUUGGGGAUGGACUCGCGGCUUAUCAGCUUGUUGGUGGGGUAGUGGCUUACCAAGGCUUUGACGGGUAGCCGGCCUGAGAGGGUGACCGGCCACAUUGGGACUGCGAGACGGCCCAGACUGCUACGGGAGGCAGCGGUGGGAAAUAUUGCACAGUGGGGGGAAGCCUGAUGCAGCAACGCCGCGUGCGGGAUGACGGCCUUCGGGUUGUAAACCGCUUUCGCCUGUGACGAAGCGUGAGUGACGGUAAUGGGUAAAGAAGCACCGGCUAACUACGUG